rnacentral:rRNA from 1 species
AAUGGCCUACCAAGGCGAUGAUGCAUAGCCGAGUUGAGAGACUGAUCGGCCACAAUGGGACUGAGACACGGCCCAUACUCCUACGGGAGGCAGCAGUAGGGAAUCUUCCACAAUGGGCGCAAGCCUGAUGGAGCAACACCGCGUGAGUGAAGAAGGGUUUCGGCUCGUAAAGCUCUGUUGUUAAAGAAGAACACGUAUGAGAGUAACUGUUCAUACGUUGACGGUAUUUAACCAGAAAGUCACGGCUAACUACGUGCCAGCAGCCGCGGUAAUACGUAGGUGGCAAGCGUUAUCCGGAUUUAUUGGGCGUAAAGAGAGUGCAGGUCGGUUUUCUAAGUCUGAUGUGAAAGCCUUCGGCUUAACCGGAGAGGUGCAUCGGAAACUGGAUAACUUGAGUGCAGAAGA